rnacentral:tRNA from 1 species
GGGGUUGUGGCUCAGUGGUAGAGCGCAUGCCUAGCAUGCAUGAGGCACUGGGCUCUAUCCCCAGCACCACA